GGGGGGGAGGAUGCAUGUAAAACUUUAAAGGGAAAUACCACCCGUGGAAAUGUGAAGGCACUGAAAUGUCUCCACAUGUACUUUCAUCCUUCGGAAAUUGAGAGUGAUUAGAUACUUAGAAAAAAAUAAAUAACCGUGCCUCCACAUUAAUUUCCCUGCCUGAAACAAACCAGCACCUGCUUCCCCUUACCCCAGGGAGCUCUGACUUUACUUCAUUAGAUUUGCAUUAAUAAGCGCGAGCAAGCCCCCUUGCUCAGACAAAUCGCAGAGCACCGAGCCCAGUGGAGCCGCCGUGACAUCCUCUCCCCCCACCGCCCCCGCCUCUGGCCAAGAGCCUAGCUCCCUGCGUCCUGCCGGCGGGGAGGCGCCGAAGUGCCCGGAGGGAGCCCAGCGUGCCGGCGCGGAGCCCCCCGGCGGGAGGAUGCGCUGAGCCGCCCCAGAGGAGGGGGCGCUGCUCCCGCUCGGCCAGAUGGUAUUAUAAUGGAAUGGCAGCUGAGAAGAUGAGACUAUGAGUGAAGAGUGUGUCUUGGAGAUUGCAUGCAGUUCAUUUUCCUGGGUCAAAAGUGGAUUGGUUUGAGAACAAUAAUUAUGAGGCUGACGUGUAUGUUCUCCUUCAUCUUGCUGUUUGGAGCAGCGGGACUUGUCGUCUUCAUUCAUCUGCAGGAUCCAGAAGACAUAGUUCAUCAGCAGACACCAGGCACUAGCUUCAUUUCUUAAUUGAGACCCAGUGGAGAUAAGAUCACCACAACAUAAUUUAAUGAACUAUGGAAGAGUGCUGCCGUUUGCUACAUGAAGUAUCGAGCUGCAUCACAGAGAAAGAAUAUCUCCUAGGUGAUGUUUCAGUAGAUAAAAUAGGUAACUAAAGCAUUUUCUGAAAUUAUACCCCCCUCUCCCAACACAUUCCCA
rnacentral:lncRNA from 1 species